rnacentral:rRNA from 1 species
UACGUAGGGUGCAAGCGUUGUCCGGAAUUAUUGGGCGUAAAGAGCUCGUAGGCGGUUUGUCGCGUCUGCUGUGAAAACCCGAGGCUCAACUCGGCCUGCAGUGGGUACGGGCAGACUAGAGUGCGGUAGGGGAGAACGGAAUUCCUGGUGUAGCGGUGAAAUGCGCAGAUAUCAGGAGGAACACCGGUGGCGAAGGCGGAU